GCGUGAGCCGCCGCACCCGGCCACCACUGCCCCUCUAGAAAGGGGAGAACAAGCCCGCUGUGGUGUGGCUAGUGGACAUCUGCUGGGGGUUCCAUAAAGAGAAGACACAAAGGAAGAGAUGCCCUGUCCUUCCUCCAGACACCUCCUCUAGGGGCUGGGCACGUGGCCCGGACCAGCACAUCCAUGACCAUGAGAGGGCACUCCAAGGGUGGCAGAGCAGAGCAGGGAAGCCUUGUUCUGGGGUGACAGGGACCAGGACACCCUCACAAGUGCAGACACCUAGGAGCCAACAGGAAGCGGACACAGGAGACUGGACGGCUGCAAUGGGCUCCCAAUUAGGUCUGCCCUACUGUCUCAGCACGACAGCCAGAGGGUCCUGUCAGAACCUGAGUCAGGCCCCGAGCCUCCUCUACCCAGCACCUCCAUGGUUCCUGCCCCAUUCCCAAGGAAAGACAGAGUCCAAGCAAAUGCCUGUGUGCCCUGGGGACCGUCCCCACCUGGGACCUCAGCGCCCCUGCCCGAACUCCUUUCCCUGCGAGGAAUGUGCCCUGCCGAGCACCCAGAGGGCCCCCGAGGUCUCCCCUGCAUGUCACCUUGUGGGCCGAUACGUACAACAUCUCACCCUCCACCCCAACCUCCUCCCCGCCGCGGACUGUGCCCCUCGUGGGGAGUCAGCCCAACAGCCCCGUCCCUCAGCCUGCUCUCAGAGGGCUCGAGCUCCAGGAGGGCAGGGUCCCUGUUUUGUUCACUGCUGCUCCCCAGCGACGGUGGCACGUGCCCAUACACGCACUUGGCACCUGUCUGCUGAAUGUGUGUGUGCAAACGGAGAUUCGGAGAUGCGGGUGUGGCUCGAGGUUGUGUCCGCAGCGCGGGGCGGAUCUCCAGAACAUACCAGAGCCUGUACAAAUCACAAAGGCAGCAGACCCAUUUUUUUAAAAUGGGCAAAAGACUUAGAGACACUUCACCAAAAAAGGAUUUCCAAAGGGCAACGAAGAUAGGAAACAGUCAUCAGGGGAAGGGAAAUUAACCUACAAUACAGGUGUGUUUCCUGUACACCCAGUGGAACAGCCACAGGGAAAAGGCAGAAAUGCCCGGUGCUGCCAGAGCUCUCAGCUGCCGGCAGAGGCAGCGACAGCCGCUGUGGCCACUCAGACAAUGCUCCGAGGACAGUGCCCAAGAGAGCUGAGCACACGGAAGCCCAGAAUCCCGCCCCAGUGCAGGCCUGGCAGAAAUGCCGGCAGACUCGCACCAAAGGGCACACCCACGGGUGUUUGCCGCAGCACCACUCACAGGCCUUCAAACUGCACACAGCCCAGGUGUCCCCAGCAGAGGACUGGAUCCUGCUGAGCGGUGACGUGUUCACACAGUGGAACUCGCCACACGGACGAGAAUGGACAAAGACAACCACAUGCAAGGCAAGUCUCACCACCAUCAAGUGGGACAAAGAAACCAGGCACAAAGAACACCCAAGAUGGGACCCCGAGCACACCCAGACCCACGGCCCCCAAAGACGCCCGCACUGCUGAAGCCAGGGCAGUGCCGGCCUGGGGGCAGGGUGGACCUGGAUGCCAGUCACCCACCUAUUCUCCCCACAAGCGUCUCCAAGGGCACACUAUGACUUUGCAACCUUUCUGUGUAUAUGUCACACUUCAAAACAAUUUAUGCUCAGAAAAAACUGAGAGAGAAACACUAAGAAACGUCUUAGCCAGGGCAGGUAGAAGCCUUGUGGGUCCCCGGCCCUUCCAGGCUCGCUGUGGGCUGCACCUCGGAAGCCGCCCCAGAGGAAGGAGCACUCCAGGGUUUACUGCCCUCCCUGGCGCCUCGGCCACAAAGGCUGUCUCCGCGGAGAUGCUGCGCCUCCUUGGAAAGGCACAGCCUGCAAAGUAAGGCCGCGGCGGGCAAGAGGUGUCCGCUGGGCUUGGAGGGCGGAAGGCGGCCUGGGGCAGCGACAGAGCUGGGGAGCAGAGAAGCAGGACCAGAGGCCACAGCGGGCGACCAGAGUCACACUGGUGCUCACAGAGACCCGGGAAGGCUGAGCCCACGGGGGACUUGGGUUCCAGAACAAGGGGUCAGGUGACAGCAGGGCUCUACCCCCCUGCCCUGCUGGUGCCACCUCCUCACUGGGCCGUGCCCUCGGCCAGGGGCCGCAGGUCUGUCCAGGGCACACAGCAGGCCGUCUGGAAAACAGGAAGCGCAGCGAGUCCAGCCUGAGCACGCUCCCGAAACCGGCCGGCCCCUCGCCCUCAGGCCUGGCUCUGCCCGCCGCCCCGCCGCCGUGGGCUGCCGUGCCUGCAGAGCCGCGCACAGAGCCGCGCCUCCCCGGCCUCGCGAGAGCCGGGACGGCCUGGGCACGCUCACGCCCAGGCUCAAGCGCAGCGCAGGCUCCAGGGUGGGGUGUCUGGAGGCCAGCCCUGUGCCCUGGGUGUCUACUGGGGACCCCAAGGUCUGGCGUUUCCCCAACACUGCCCCAUUAACACUCCCAUUUGGAGAAUAAUAUUCCAAGAAAAGAAUCGCUGUGGUUUUAGUACCACCAGAGCAAAAGGUGUAGAAAGCUGAGGGGCAGCUGACCCCGCUGGGGCCCCCGCAUCACAGAGGCAGCCACUCUGCCUGAACAAACAAUCCAGGGGCGGCCAGUUGCCCGCAGGCCUCCCCCCACAGCCCCACAGGCCCCUACCCUUUGUCCUGAGGAGACAGGGGAUUGGGGGCGGCUGUGCCUUCCACCUUGACCGCAUGUGAGUAGCAGGUAACUAGCCGUGACGAAGGUGCUGACUGCUCGGGACAGCAGCUACUCCCUGCACCCAAGAGGCCGGGAGCCACGCCUGAGGGGAAGAGACCUCGUGCCCACACAUCAUCAUGGUCCCUGCGGCCACAGCUGUCAUCCCCCAGGCCCAGCCCUUCCCGCUGCCUGAGAGCCCAGGGACCUGGCGGGCGGUGGGUCUACAGAGGAACAAGACACCACCCUGCCACCUCCUCCAGGAAGUCUUCCUGAUUCUUGGAGUGUCCUCAAGGGCCUGCCCCUUGGGCUGCCAGCCCCUCAUGCCAGGUACCUCUCACCAACUCUUCCUCCCACUCACUCAGGACAACUGGCGGCUGUGAGGAUCUAAGCUCAGAGUACCUGUCUUCUCCACAGGGUCAAAGGUGCCAUGUUGGAUUAGCAACAUCUGCCUCAGGCGAGGGCGUGGGGAAGUAGGCCUGCACCCCUGCAGCUCCUCACCUGGGCUUCUCAACAACUGGAAGAAAAGAUGAUGGCCAACAUUCCACUCCAGGACAGCACCGAUCCCUCUCGCUGUCACCACAGCCUAGAGGUGAGGACGGCCUCCGUGGGCUUCACCUGCAUGGCUUUAGUAUGAGUGAGAGCGAGCUAACAAGGUACCUUUCUUCUGGACUUGCCUGUUUUAGGGUUUCUCCUUUAUUCAGCUGGCUUGUGGAUUUUUUCUUAUUCUUCCAUUCAGUGAGAGCUGAGGGUGUGCCGUGCGCUGCUGCAGCAGUGCACGGUGACGAUAUGCCCAUAAACACAGCCGACCAAGUCCCGGCCCUCACAAGCGCACAGGACCAGGUAGAACACAAGUACCAAACACGUAAAUAUCCACCAGCUGCCAACGGCCGUGGAGAAGCCGGAGCCGCAGGUGGAGCGGAGCAGGCACAGAGCCCGGGCUUUGGUCUGGUCGGGGCAGUCAGGGCAGACUGCUCCGACGGGGGAGUUCCCAGCAGAGACCUGCAUGGCCACGUGGGUCCAGGCAAAUCAAGUGCAAAACCCUAGGGCAGAGCCUGUAGCCUCUUAAGGAGCAGUGAGGAGCCCAGCGUUGCAGGCUGCAGCUGCAACGAGAUAGCAGGAGGUGAGAACAGCCCUGGCGGGCCUGUGACCAGGACAAGGGCUUGGGUUAAUUUCCUAGGGUUUGCUGUACAAAUGACCAGGAACUGGUGGUGUAAAACAACAGAAUGUCUUCUCAGUUUUGCAAGCUGACAUUCUGAAACCAAGGCCUCAGCAGGCUGAGUUCCCUCCUAGCCUCUGGUGUGGGUGCUCCUCCACGGCAUCCCUGCCUGCAGCCACCGACCUCCAACCUCUGCCUCGACCCCCGCCUCAUCCUCAGCUAGUGUGACCUCAUUUUACCUGCCACAUCUGCACAGACCCUAUGUCCAAAUAAGGUCCCACCCAUAGGUUGCAGGUGGAUCAGGGAAUACUGUUCACCCAGCACAGGGCCCCUCUCCAGCCCCUCGGAGCCGUGUCUGUUGGGGUGCCUGCCUCUGCCAUCCAUGCUCACACCCACUUCCCAGUGCUGGAUGGAGAAUGACCCCACUGGGUCUAAACCUCUCCGGGUAGUUUGUGGAGAGGAGACUGCCUGCUGGACACCUGCAGAACUGCCCAUGCUCCAGGGCGGCCUGGACCUCGGAGGUCUGGCUGUGGCAGUACAGGGCCAGAGGGGCAGGUCCUGUGCUCGCAGAGGACAGAGACAGGGGUGUGCUCAGCGAGCAGAUGUGGAUCUUGAGAGAGA